rnacentral:lncRNA from 1 species
GGCCCAGCCAUCAGGAGCCGGUGCCCUCCAGCAAAGCCAGACCCGGGAAAGCCCAGCGGGACCACAGGGCAGCCGGGUCUCGGGCUUUCCCGGCAGCAGGACUUGGCCACACCAGGGUCCCCCCCCGGGGUCGCUCCCCAGCCAGCCCUGAGCAAAGCAUCAGUGCUGCUCAUUUUUUAGCUGCGGAGGGUCUCUGAGCUCCAUCCCCGCACGGGCAGCCUGGCCCCCCGGGCACACAUUUCCCCCCCACACACUGAAGAUGUGGCCCCUUCCUCCUCCUCCUCCUCGUGCAUAAGGAUGCGUUGACACAGAUUCCGCCACGGUGUUGGCACCCAGGCUCCCUCCGUCCCCCUGGUGCUGGAGCUGCUCUGAGCCCCCCCCGGCCCAUCUGAAGCCCCUUCCCAUCCCCA